CAGCGCGUGGAUCGCCGGUGGCGGGCAGGCAGGCAGGCAGGGAUGAUGGGGGGGAUAGAACGUUGGAGCUAGAGCGAGCGCAGAGUGGGAGGGUCGAACGCGCGCUCUGCUCGGAGUGGGUUUGGCCAAGUGACAAUGUAAAUCGCUGCCAAGCUGAGUCUAGUGUUUCUCGCUUCGAGGUGGAGAGAGAGAAUAACUUCUUACGAGCGUUUAUUUCUGUAGCCGAUUACGAGCAGAGGAUAAUAGCACAACGAUAAAGUAGUUUUUUUGGCAAAGGGAGCAGCAGUUGUAAUUGUUAAGACGUGGAAUCUGGGCUUUAAAAAUCGACUUUUCCCGAGUUGCUCCGGGGUCGAAGAUCGGACGACUGCGGUGCGUGUGGAAGUUAGAUUCGGGUCGGAGGAGGAGCGGCUAGCGUUACCCUGGUAUCUGCUCUGUCGGAUUAACAUACUCCAAGGUUUUGAUUGGUUGAGCAGAGUGUUCCAGAGUGUUCCGGCAGGACUUGGGUCCUCAGAACUCAUAAGAACCCAGACGAGAGAACACCCAACCCGGCGGAACACGCUCCUGGAACGCUAAGGAACUAGAGGACGGGACGGGAGAGAGGGAACGCCGGCGGGAAAGAGGCAAACGCCGACGGAGAGAGGAGUAAAUCUGUCCAUUCUGGGAUCUAGAAGCCAACGGGCAGAGACUGGAGGAAAGCCUCACUGAAUCAACAGACACACACACACACACACACACACACACACACACACACACACUCACACACACACACACACACACACACACACACACACACACACACACGUACACACACACUCCUGUCGUUCCACUUGCAAGCUGGUGCUGGUGGUCCAUGUGUGUGUGUGCUGCUGCGUGAAUGUGUGUGUGUGAGGGGAACCCUUCAUCGGAGAGUAGAGCAGAAGAACGGCAUUGUGGGAUAGGUGCCAUUCCUCCUGUGGGCUGCAUGGAGGUGUGACCGAGGGGCGGAGACUCUGCAGAGGGGCGGAGACUCGACAGACCACGCCUCCCGGGUGCUUUGCAUGAUGGGAAAGGAACAGGAGCUGUUGCAGGCGGUGAAGAAUGGAGACCUGUUCUCAACUCAGAAACUCCUGGCCAAGCUGAAGGCCAGUCGCAACAACAGACGAAUUAUCGACCACAGAGGGGUGCACGGUUCUCAUCCCAUCACAGGGCCAUUAUUGCAUUACUGACUGCAUCCCCCUCCUCACACACACACACACACACACACACACACACACACACACACACACACACACACACACAGACACAGUGACCCGAAGAGACAUAUGUCAGACUGGGACACUUAAACUUGGAUAGACAUUCACCCAACACACACACAUAUGCAGUUACAAAGACACACUCGUGCAGCACACACUUAAUUAAAACUAGUUUAUUGAGUGUGUGUUUGAUUAAAUGGUGUUUGUGUGUUGUGUUGAUUAAACUUUA
ensembl:lncRNA